UCCGGCUUAACGCCGGCAGUCCCCCCAGAGUCCCCGGCCGAACCGCUGGCAACUGGGAGCGAGGGUUGCGCUCGUUGCGGGACUUAACCCAACAUCUCACGACACGAGCUGACGACAGCCAUGCAGCACCUGUGCUGGUGCUCCGAAGAGGGACCGAUGUUUCCACCGGUUUUCACCAGCAUGUCAAGCCCAGGUAAGGUUCUUCGCGUUGCGUCGAAUUAAACCACAUGCUCCACCGCUUGUGCGGGCCCCCGUCAAUUCCUUUGAGUUUCAGCCUUGCGGCCGUACUCCCCAGGCGGGGCACUUACUGCGUUAGCUGCGGCACCGCAGGGGUCAACACCCGCGACACCUAGUACCCAUCGUUUACAGCGUGGACUAC
rnacentral:misc_RNA from 1 species